AGAGUUUGAUCCUGGCUCAGAUUGAACGCUGGCGGCAGGCCUAACACAUGCAAGUCGAGCGGUAGCACAGAGAGCUUGCUCUCGGGUGACGAGCGGCGGACGGGUGAGUAAUGUCUGGGAAACUGCCUGAUGGAGGGGGAUAACUACUGGAAACGGUAGCUAAUACCGCAUAAUGUCGCAAGACCAAAGUGGGGGACCUUCGGGCCUCAUGCCAUCAGAUGUGCCCAGAUGGGAUUAGCUAGUAGGUGGGGUAACGGCUCACCUAGGCGACGAUCCCUAGCUGGUCUGAGAGGAUGACCAGCCACACUGGAACUGAGACACGGUCCAGACUCCUACGGGAGGCAGCAGUGGGGAAUAUUGCACAAUGGGCGCAAGCCUGAUGCAGCCAUGCCGCGUGUGUGAAGAAGGCCUUCGGGUUGUAAAGCACUUUCAGCGGGGAGGAAGGCGUUAAGGUUAAUAACCUUGKCGAUUGACGUUACCCGCAGAAGAAGCACCGGCUAACUCCGUGCCAGCAGCCGCGGUAAUACGGAGGGUGCAAGCGUUAAUCGGAAUUACUGGGCGUAAAGCGCACGCAGGCGGUCUGUCAAGUCGGAUGUGAAAUCCCCGGGCUCAWCCUGGGAACUGCAUUCGAAACUGGCAGGCUAGAGUCUUGUAGAGGGGGGUAGAAUUCCAGGUGUAGCGGUGAAAUGCGUAGAGAUCUGGAGGAAUACCGGUGGCGAAGGCGGCCCCCUGGACAAAGACUGACGCUCAGGUGCGAAAGCGUGGGGAGCAAACAGGAUUAGAUACCCCUGGUAGUCCACGCCCGUAAACGAUGUCGAUUUGGAGGUUGUGCCCUUGAGGCGUGGCUUCCGGAGCUAACGCGUUAAAUCGACCGCCUGGGGAGUACGGCCGCAAGGUUAAAACUCAAAUGAAUUGACGGGGGCCCGCACAAGCGGUGGAGCAUGUGGUUUAAUUCGAUGCAACGCGAAGAACCUUWCCUGGUCUUGACAUCCACAGAACUUUCCAGAGAUGGAUUGGUGCCUUCGGGAACUGUGAGACAGGUGCUGCAUGGCUGUCGUCAGCUCGUGUUGUGAAAUGUUGGGUUAAGUCCCGCAACGAGCGCAACCCUUAUCCUUUGUUGCCAGCGGUUMGGCCGGGAACUCAAAGGAGACUGCCAGUGAUAAACUGGAGGAAGGUGGGGAUGACGUCAAGUCAUCAUGGCCCUUACGACCAGGGCUACACACGUGCUACAAUGGCAUAUACAAAGAGAAGCGACCUCGCGAGAGCAAGCGGACCUCAUAAAGUAUGUCGUAGUCCGGAUUGGAGUCUGCAACUCGACUCCAUGAAGUCGGAAUCGCUAGUAAUCGUAGAUCAGAAUGCUACGGUGAAUACGUUCCCGGGCCUUGUACACACCGCCCGUCACACCAUGGGAGUGGGUUGCAAAAGAAGUAGGUAGCUUAACCUUCGGGAGGGCGCUUACCACUUUGUGAUUCAUGWCUGGGGUGAAGUCGUAACAAGGUAACCGUAGGGGAACCUGCGGCUGGAUCACCUCCUUAA
rnacentral:rRNA from 1 species